CAGCCGCCGCGGUAAAACGAAGGGUGCAAGCGUUAAUCGGAAUUACUGGGCGUAAAGCGCGCGUAGGUGGUUCAUUAAGUUGGAUGUGAAAGCCCCGGGCUCAACCUGGGAAUGGCAGUGGAUACUGGCUCGCUAGAGUGUGUCAGAGGAUGGUGGAAUUCCCGGUGUAGCGGUGAAAUGCGUAGAGAUCGGGAGGAACAUCAGUGGCGAAGGCGGCCAUCUGGGACAACACUGACGCUGAGGCACGAAAGCGUGGGGAGCAAACAGGAUUAGAUACCCCUGUAGUCCCUGUCUCUUAUAC
rnacentral:rRNA from 1 species